rnacentral:rRNA from 1 species
AGUGAACGCUGGCGGUAGGCCUAACACAUGCAAGUCGAACGGCAGCACAGUAAGAGCUUGCUCUUACGGGUGGCGAGUGGCGGACGGGUGAGGAAUACAUCGGAAUCUACUUUUUCGUGGGGGUUAACGUAGGGAAACUUACGCUAAUACCGCAUACGACCUACGGGUGAAAGCAGGGGAUCUUCGGACCUUGCGCGAUUGAAUGAGCCGAUGUCGGAUUAGCUAGUUGGCGGGGUAAAGGCCCACCAAGGCGACGAUCCGUAGCUGGUCUGAGAGGAUGAUCGGCCACACUGGAACUGAGACACGGUCCAGACUCCUACGGGAGGCAGCAGUGGGGAAUAUUGGACAAUAGGCGCAAGCCUGAUCCAGCCAUACCGCGUGGGUGAAGAAGGCCUUCGGGUUGUAAAGCCCUUUUGUUGGGAAAGAAAAGCAGCAGGUUAAUACCCCGCUGUUCUGACGGUACCCAAAGAAUAAGCACCGGCUAACUUCGUG